UUCUGGUAUAGCUCAGCCAGUAGGGCAUGAGACUCUUAAUCUCAAGGUCUUGGGUUCGAGCCUCACAUUGGGCAAA